rnacentral:rRNA from 1 species
GAUGAACGCUGGCGGCGUGCCUAAUACAUGCAAGUCGAGCGAACAGAUGAGGAGCUUGCUCCUCUGACGUUAGCGGCGGACGGGUGAGUAACACGUGGAUAACCUACCUAUAAGACUGGGAUAACUUCGGGAAACCGGAGCUAAUACCGGAUAAUAUAUUGAACCGCAUGGUUCAAUAGUGAAAGACGGUUUUGCUGUCACUUAUAGAUGGAUCCGCGCCGCAUUAGCUAGUUGGUAAGGUAACGGCUUACCAAGGCAACGAUGCGUAGCCGACCUGAGAGGGUGAUCGGCCACACUGGAACUGAGACACGGUCCAGACGCCUGCGGGAGGCAGCAGUAGGGAAUCUUCCGCAAUGGGCGAAAGCCUGACGGAGCAACGCCGCGUGAGUGAUGAAGGUCUUCGGAUCGUAAAACUCUGUUAUUAGGGAAGAACAAAUGUGUAAGUAACUAUGCACGUCUUGACGGUACCUAAUCAGAAAGCCACGGCUAACUACGUG